AUGACUCGUUUGGAGCAUUUGCUCGUCACUCUGCACAAUUCUGUAGGGGAAUUAUGUCCAUUUUCUGCACUCUACUAGUUUUGAAAGUUGGUAUAUAACGCGGUAGUAUGUGUAAAGUUUUAUCCACUAAUUUUGUUUGUAAACUUGUGUUCGUGAACAGUACGAAGAAUAAUUUUCAUACCAAAUUUCGGAUUUCUGCGAUCAUCUGCAGAAAUCAUGAUCUUGAUGGCAGACCGGCUAACUGCUUUGGAAGCUCUGUUUCAGGUGCCUCAGUUUGAAAUACCUUAUGGGCCUUAGGAAUAAACCAAACCCCAACCAACAUCAAGGAACAAAAGCCAAGAAAAAAGCUAAGCAAAAAAGUACCUAAACGGACAAAGCAGUCAACACUAAGGUGAUGAACUGUUAUUGACUUACAUAGCAGCUUUUGCCCUGAAAAAGCAGGGCAAAAGUGUAAAUAGUGAAUCGAGAUCAGUUUGAGAUACCUCAUGCAGAAAGGCAAAAUGAAGAAAAUCAUCACAAAAGGAAGAAAUUCAAAAAACAUUGAAUAGAUGCAGAACCAAGAUGAAGCAGAGAAAAUAACCCUCAAAAAGAACAAAAGUAAUAAAUUGUUAUUGUGAA